rnacentral:rRNA from 1 species
CUGCUGCCUCCCGUAGGAGUUUGGGCCGUGUCUCAGUCCCAAUGUGGCCGUCCACCCUCUCAGGCCGGCUACUGAUCGUCGCUUUGGUAGGCCGUUACCCUGCCAACUGGCUAAUCAGACGCGGGCCCAUCUUAUACCACCGGAGUUUUUCACCCUGGGCCAUGCGGCCCUGGGCGCUUAUGCGGUCUUAGCACCUAUUUCUAAGUGUUAUCCCCCUGUAUAAGGCAGGUUACCCACGCGUUACUCACCCGUCCGCCACUAAAGUAAAAA